rnacentral:lncRNA from 1 species
CUCAAUUUGAGUCACUGCAGGAGGCAAGUGAAAUUUCUCUUCUAGCACUCAAGAGAUAACUUCUUUCCUGGGAACAACAAGUUUUCUUUUCCUUUGCUCUUCAUUCCCAAGAGCAUCUUCUGUGAGGACAUUGAGGUGAAGUGUGGGAUGUCUGUAGGAAGGGGGAGGACAGAGCCAGCCACCAUUGCAGCAAGCCACAAAUGGCCACUGGAAGAAGGAAUGAGUACAAAUGACUUUAGGAAAUACACAGGUGUGAGGAGAAAACUGGACUGAGAGGCAGAAUGGCUGCAGAAGAGAGGCUGCCAUGGUGAAUAGGAGUAGAAGCUCUGGUGAGUGGAGUUCUCAUGCCUGGGGGACUGUUUAGUUAAUUACUGAGGGUGGAUGCCUAUGUGCUGAUGUGAAAGCUCCUGUAGCAGGAUUAAAAUAAUGAUAUGUUGUAUUUCAGAGAGUCAGCAGUAACAGCCAUGUGAUAAGGGCAGGAUUGACUUGGGACAGGAGGGAUUAAAAGUGGAGAUAGGCACAAACCCAAUAUAUAACAUAUAUUUUACUAAUACAACUUUGACCGAAAUAUUACUAAUUCAAAAAAUAUGCUUUGUGGCUUCUUAACUUUGUGCCUGGCAAUUUUAAGAGGCAAAUAGCUAAGAUGCAAAUUAAUCAGUAUUUUCUAAUUGUAGUCUCCUGUUUGUUUAUUGCUUCUUGGUAGUCACAUGUAAUGUGACAAUAACUCAAGAUGACACUUCCCAGUCCCCCACCUUAUUUUCUACCUUUUACAACAGCAGAAGCAACUGAAUCAGCAAAGCUCCCAAGAGUGCCUGUGUUACAAGUAUUGAUUCAUUCUCUGAGUACCCAUUCAUUUGGGCAUGGAGUAAGACCUGUGUCUGGAAUCUGGGCCAGUGGAUCUCAGAGGACUGGGCUUCACAGUGCUAUGUUAGCAUCCCUGAACACCAGAACGGUCGCAGAUACCAAAUUACAGCAAAUGUUUCUGAGACAGGAUUUAAGACACGUUCUCAUCUCUGGAAUGAUAUUGUGACAUUUUCCAUCAGGCUAAGAAAGAAGUGCAUUUGUUGGAAAAAUCCCAACAGUUGCAAAAUAUUGUAACUAUCCUCAGUUUCUAAAAUAUUGUCUAUUUCUGAAUUGUGCAUGUACUUGCUUUGUAUCACAUCAUGCAUAGUAAUUAAUCUAUUUUGUGACGAAGAUGUAGUCUCUGGAAGAGUUGUGUCUCUCUGAUCUCUUGCAAUUAAUGGGUAAAAGUGAGAAAAUGUCUUAAUAGUAAUGUUUAACCAAACCACAGUGUUAUUUUGGCAAUAAAUGUAUGGGACUGUCUGUGACA